UUCACCUACUUUGACUGGAUUAAUUCAAGUUUGGGCACGAAAAGCAAAAGACGGCAGCUGAAGUUUCCCGCGAAACUACUGCCGGAAAGCCCAAGCGUGCCGUGAAAGUUAUGCCGGCCGGGUCGGAACCCCUGGCCUGGGCCUAUAAAUUGGAGGAGGUUCUCUUGUAAUGCAGUUUGCCGCUUUGGUGGUCGAAUAGCAGUAGGAGGGGUUUCAUUUUUCCUUCUUCCUGUGGUUAUUUUAGCCGUUUAUUCGCCUGCCUUCUGAGCGUCCGUUGACCGUUGGGCUUCGCACUUUUUAUUUGCACGGUUUUAGAGAGAAUGAGCGCGUCAGAUCUGUUGGCGGAGGAGGCGAAGCAACAUAUUGGUUGCCGCCAUGAGCACGGUGGCUCGCCGCCGGCUGAGGGGACUCAGCAGAAGGAUUUCGCAGCGGCGAUCAGGCGGUCGCCGUCUGUUGAUUCGCUGACAAGUAUUGUCGGCGUUAAGACGUGCGUGUGUGCUCCGACUACUCACGCUGGCUCGUUUCGCUGCCGGCUUCAUCGGAAUCCUUCGAGCGUUUCUCACGCAGCGGCAGCACCGCUGCCUCCCUCCGUGACGGCGGCACCGAGAUCCUCCGCUUCGAACACGAGCAUCGAAGCGCGAUAAUUUUAAAAAAAUUAAAAGUUUCGCUAAGUUUUAGAGAUUUUAGACAGACUGAUAUUUCCGUAUUAUAUGUCUGGUCCUUGGUUCCCUGAAAGCCUACAGGGUAAAAUAUUUUUUUUGUAUUUAGGGUUUGUUUCCUAGGCGUACCGCGUAGUAUUCUAUCUUUUACUUACCCUCACGGCUUGUAGAUUGUCUAUAUGUUCACAUUUUAAGCUAUUUCCUAGAACGAGUCUAUAUAUUCACAUUUUCUAGAAUGAGACUAGCUUUAUCGAUCUAGAGUCACAUUGUCGUUGUUAAGGAACACUUGAAGAAAAAUGUAAUAGAAGUUAUUUGAAGAUUUGUUCUAUAAUUGCAAACAGAAGCAGUAAAUGAAAAAUGUUCUGAAGUUGUCCUGGAA